CAAUAGCGUAUAUUAAAGUUGUUGCAGUUAAAAAGCUCGUAGUUGGAUUUCUGGUAGGUGUGACCGUUCCGAACUUGAUUGUUCGUGUAUUGUGUUUUCUCCAGCCAUCCUUGUGGAGAACUUUUCUUGCAUUAAUUUGUAGGGAUUGGGACCCGCAUCGUUUACUGUGAAAAAAUUAGAGUGUUUAAAGCAGGCAAUCGCUUGAAUACAUUAGCAUGGAAUAAUAAGAUAGGACUUUGGUACUAUUUUGUUGGUUUGCAUACCAAAUUAAUGAUCAACAGGAACAGUUUGAGGAUAUUCGUAUGAACAUGUCAGAGGUGAAAUUCUUGGAUUUUGAUCAGACGAACUACUGCGAAAGCAUUUAUCAAGGAUGUUUUCAUUAA
rnacentral:rRNA from 1 species